CUUUUCUCUUUCAGUUUCUCUUCUCUUUUUUCUUGCACUUGACAACCAAUCUUUGAAACAAGAUUUCUUUCUCAUUUCAUGCCGGAUUAAGGUGUCUUUUGAGGCAAAACGAAGCCCACGACGAACUCUACACAUCCAUACCAGCAAUUGCAGAUUUCGUGCACCCUUUGGAGUUUGAAUUUUGAGACCUACUUUGAGGGUUUUUGCAUUUUAAGAGGAAAUGGGAAAGAAGUGGCGGAUGAAAAUCCCCCGCAAGCUUGAAGAAGAUUAGGAGUUGUAUUUUGUUACCUUUUGUAUCUUAGCCCAUUUUUUUUGUAUAGUCUCAAAACUAAAAUGUCGUGUGUUCAUUUUUGCAAGACAAGGUCAUGUAUUAUAAAUCAUAACUCUUGUUGAUAUUUUGAAGGGAUGCAAGACUAUGUAAAUGCUUAAGUUGAAUGGGAUGACGGUGAUGGGCUAACUUGGGGAGGUUGUUGAUGUUGUGGUAUUGGGGAAUGUA